rnacentral:ncRNA from 1 species
CAGCAGGCGCGCAAAUUACCCAUUCCCGACGCGGGGAGGUAGUGACGAAAAAAUAACAAUGCAGUACUCGUUCGAGGCCCUGUAAUUGGAAUGAGUACACUUUAAAAGCUUUAACGAGUAUCCAUUGGAGGGCAAGUCUGGUGCCAGCAGCCGCGGUAAUUCCAGCUCCAAAAGUAUAUAUUUAAGUUGUUGCGGUUAAAAAGCUCGUAGUUGGAUUUUGGGCGCAGGCGGCCGGUCCGUCGCAAGGCGUGUACUGGACGUCCUGGCCUUCCCUCCGGUUCUCCGCCGGUGCUCUUGACUGAGUGUCGGCGGCGGCCGGAACGUUUACUUUGAAAAAAUUAGAGUGUUCAAAGCAGGCUCUCGAGCCUGGAUAAUGGUGCAUGGAAUAAUGGAAUAGGACCUCGGUUCUAUUUUGUUGGUUUUCGGAGCGCGAGGUAAUGAUUAAGAGGGACAGACGGGGGCAUUCGUACUGUGCCGUUAGAGGUGAAAUUCUUGGAUCGGCGCAAGACGAACGACUGCGAAAGCAUUUGCCAAGAAUGUUUUCUUUAAUCAAGAGCGAAAGUCAGAGGUUCGAAGACGAUCAGAUACCGUCCUAGUUCUGACUAUAAACGAUGCCAACUAGCGAUCGGGGGGCGUUACAUUGACGACCCCUCCGGCAGCUUACGGGAAACCAAAGUCUUUGGGUUCCGGGGGGAAGUAUGGUUGCAAAGCUGAAACUUAAAGGAAUUGACGGAAGGG